GACGAACGCUGGCGGCGUGCCUAAUACAUGCAAGUCGAGCGAAUCUUUUGGGAGCUUGCUCCCUUAAGAUUAGCGGCGGACGGGUGAGUAACACGUGGGUAACCUGCCUGUAAGACUGGGAUAACUUCGGGAAACCGGAGCUAAUACCGGAUAGGUUCUUUUCUCGCAUGAGGGAAGAUGGAAAGAUGGUUCUGCUAUCACUUACAGAUGGACCCGCGGCGCAUUAGCUAGUUGGUGAGGUAACGGCUCACCAAGGCGACGAUGCGUAGCCGACCUGAGAGGGUGAUCGGCCACACUGGGACUGAGACACGGCCCAGACUGCUACGGGAGGCAGCAGUAGGGAAUCUUCCGCAAUGGACGAAAGUCUGACGGAGCAACGUCGCGUGAGCGAAGAAGGCCUUCGGGUCGUAAAGCUCUGUUGUUAGGGAAGAACAAGUACGAGAGUAACUGCUCGUACCUUGACGGUACCUAACCAGAAAGCCACGGCUAACUACGUGCCAGCAGCCGCCGUAACAC
rnacentral:rRNA from 1 species